rnacentral:rRNA from 1 species
AUUGAACGCUGGCGGAAUGCUUUACACAUGCAAGUCGAACGGCAGCACGGGGACAGCCCUGGUGGCGAGUGGCGAACGGGUGAGUAAUACAUCGGAACGUGCCCGGUCGUGGGGGAUAACGUAGCGAAAGUUACGCUAAUACCGCAUACGAUCUGAGGAUGAAAGCGGGGGACCUUCGGGCCUCGCGCGAUCGGAGCGGCCGAUGUCAGAUUAGGUAGUUGGUGAGGUAAAGGCUUACCAAGCCGACGAUCUGUAGCUGGUCUGAGAGGACGACCAGCCACACUGGAACUGAGACACGGCCCAGACUCCUACGGGAGGCAGCAGUGGGGAAUUUUGGACAAUGGGCGCAAGCCUGAUCCAGCCACGCCGCGUGCAGGACGAAGGCCUUCGGGUUGUAAACUGCUUUUGUACGGAAAGAAAAGGCUCUGGCUAAUACAUGGGGGUCAUGACGGUACCGUAAGAAUAAGCACCGGCUAACUACGUG